AUUUUGUAGGCGGAGAAGAGGAGGUGAAUGGCCAGCUCUGAUCACAGUAUUAGGCUGGGCUAUCUAUGGGGAGGGUAUUUACUCGUUUUUGGGGUGUGUGGGAGGACAGGAAAAACACCUAGAAAUAGCUGGCACGAUUCACAUGGUCUCGGAUUAUGUUUCCCCCCUCUAGUGCAGGAAGGAAACUCGCGUUUUAACGCUAAGAGGGGGGAAAAUAGCCCUGUGCAAUAGCACUUUGGUCCUUCGUUAAUACCCAAAGGGACAGAGACGAUAAAUGUGACAGCAUGUGGCAGCACGACCGUCACCCAGGUUCCUGCAAAAGGCGGCUCCGUAUCGCGACAUGGGAAAUUAAGCGCUUGAGUGGGAGGUGGAGAAAGCGCUUAAACGGAGAAGUUAAUCUGCUAACAUGGAGAGGAAACAAACGGAGAAAAAAAACCCCGAAGAAAACGCCAAGCCUUUGGGCUCAAAGAACUUAGACCAUCAUGGCUACGAAAACUACUGCUACUCAGAAAGUAUAUAAUUUUGGAGCUCCUUAGUGACAAAAGUAGUGCAAGGCAACAUCAGAGCAGUUGCCAAGUGAUCUUCUCCACAGUACCCAUGAACUUCAGCCUUGAACUGAAGAGGACUCAUCAAAUGCCUUAGGAAAGACAGCAUGGAGUUGGAAGAGAAGCAGAGAUCUCUGUGAAGGGCAGUCAGUUAUACUCCUGGUGUGUGGAGGAACAGGUCCUGUUCUCGCUGUUGUUACUCCCACAUAGGCAGACUGUAAUUGAUUAUGUGUGGGUAGGGCCCUAUUGAAAUUCAGGAGAUUCUGCAGUAGUGCGGGGUUCUUUUUGUGAAAGUUCAGUUGCAAGAUCAGGACCCCACUGUGACUUCUAACUGUGAAUUCUGUCAGUGUAUCAUUGACUGUGCUGGACCCUGCCUUUUGGGAUAAUGUAUGUAUUUUAGACAUGAAGUAAUCAUAAAACAUUUCUAAUUAUAAAAUGAUUAUAAUUUACAUGCAUUCUUUUAAUUAUGUUUUUUUGGCAGUACCAAAUACUAUAUUCCUCAAAACUUCUUAAUGGCACUGAGGCUUUGUGGAUAGUUGGUCACAUGAGAAAAUUCAGCUGCCCAUCAAGACUACUUCUACCUGAUACCUCUCCUUCAGUAUCAAGAGUUUGACUCUGGUUUUGAUCAACAUAGGAUGCCAGCUUCCAUCAUUCAGUCAUUACAUUUUCAGACCACACUGGAUAUUUUCUCCUCGGCUGCCUCUCGUGUAUUGGUUGACUUCUUCAUAAACAGAAGUGUUCACUGUCUUCCUUUAAAUUUCUUCUUAAAAGUUUUAUGUAUUGUGAACCUUAAAACAAUCUCACUAGACAACAGAUAUAUUGCAGGUAUAUUAAUGCCAACACAUAUCACAGUAGUACUGUGUCACUGCAUUUGUACUCUGCCAUAAUUUCUCUGUUGUCUCUUUACGUAGAAUUUAGGCACAUCUAUAUUUUGUUUUGUGUUUAUUCAUGGUCCAGCAUAAUGUGAAGUGGUCCAGGGUGAGGCCUUCCAAGAUUUAUGGUAAUACAGAUAAAUAAUAAUGAAUACCUGCUGGAUGCUGUAGUAUAGCUGUUGGAUUCUGUUGUGCCUACUGUCACGUCAUAUUUAAUGCAGAAAGAAGGUUCUCCAACUAGGGGCCUCACAAAAGGGAAAGAAGUGAGUUGCAGCCAACAGAAAAAAUGCUAGCCCCAGAGGCCUUCUCAGCUGUCAAACUCAAGUCAGUAGCUACUGACAUUAUAUCCUGAAAGCAUCCCUCUCUUCUCUUCUUUUCUCCAUAGCUGUAAGAACAGAUUCUCCCUUCUCAUAUAAGGAAGUAAAUGCAAAUAUCACAAAGUUCUGCAGUGUGUGCAGAAGGUUAAAGGACUUUUUGUACUUCCAUAGCAUCCUUAGUUCAUUCCCUUCCUGACACACCUUCUGCAUCUCUUGGUGCAGAAAUCUUGAAUAACCACAACUGUGCCAUUUAUCAGUCUUUUUUUCAAAUACUGUUUGAUUUCUGUUGAGAAGGAACUUAGACUAGUUUUUAUUUGGUAUCUUGGCACAUUGCUAUCUCACAGUGCUCUGUUUCCAUUGUGUCCUGAGGGUAAUGAUUCUUCAGAAGAGUGUUAAGGAUGAAUUCCAUUAGAAAUUCCCCAGGUAUGUCACCCUCUUUGUGUAAGAGAGUCUGCAUGUAACCCUUUACUUUCUUUCAAAGGGACAAUGAAAUGUCAGUGUAUAGGUCAUAGAGAGAUGAUGAGAUAUUUAGUGCCUGGCUGAUACAGAGAUGGUAGAUUAGACUAUGCAGACAAAUGGUACUGUAUGUACCAAAGAAAUUAUAGUCGAAUAAUUUUAUCAGAAUAAACAAAAAAAUGUAAUUACAAGUGGUUCUGUAGCUGAAUAGGAGAAGUUUAAUAAGGGUUUAAUAAGUUUAUGGGAUGGAGACAGUUUCUGUGAAAUACUGUGGGAGACUGGAGAGGCUGUACAACCUGAAAGCUUGAUUGUAGCAAGAGUCCUUGGUAAUAUAAGUAUAGUCUGGAUAAACUUUACAUUCUACUACAUUGCGCCAUCUUGCACAGGCUGUGUAUUUAGGUAUCAUCAAGAACUACUUUUUGGGCAAAUGAAGUAGAGAAUCCAGAAGAGGAGGACAGCCCUUGGUUUGGUCAAGAUCAGCAUACAACAAAUAGAAGAACCAUUCAGUAGUGAGAUAUCAUAUUCAAGUUUAUCACACUUGUAGGAGAGAAAAGAUUAAAAUAAAAUGAAAAAAAAGGCCCAGUGUUGUGUGAAAAAGAGUUGCAUACUAAUGAAGAUACAGUUUAAAUAAAUAUUAAAAAAUUCACAGGGGCUCUGUUUUCUGAGUCCAACCCAGUUGAAUGAGAAUUAUCUUACACAAUUCAACAAUAAAGGAAAAUACUAGAAAUUAUGAGAGCUUUUUAAAAAAGUUAAAAUCCAAGCAAGCAAAGCAGAAAAGAGCACAAUUCUGGCAAGUUAAAUGUAGACCUAUUGUAAGGCAGAACAAAAAGAUUUUGAAAUGCAAUGGGCUAAAAUUCUAAAAGCCAAACCCUAUUUUUUUCAGGUGUAAAUUUUGCUAGUAAGGAGGUAAGUUUAAGAGAUAAUUGUUGUUAAGGAGAAUAUUGAAGACAAAGCCAUCAGAGAAAGAAACAACUGAACUCAUUGCACUGGCAAGAUUUAUGAUGGAGAUUAGGGACAUCCCCACAUAGAAAUAAUUUUUUAUAAGAAAUAGUUCAUAUUUGAAAUAGCAAUAAAAGAUUUUUUAUCAAAUUGAUUGAAUAAACAUUAAUAAAUUGCCAAAUAACAUGUUCAUUCAGUAGUCCUAGAAAAAUUCAGAAAUUAAAUUGGUGAGCCAUGCAUUGUGUUUUGUAAUCUGUCACUUAAAUUAGCCUUGAUAACAGAGGAAUGGAAAAUAAUGAAUUUGAUCCUAGUUUUAAAAAGGGCUCUAGAGAUGGUCAUGAACUAAUGGAACUAAAAAAUCUGGCUACCAUGACAGACAAAAUGCCGGUAAAUGUGAUAAAGAAUACCAUUAAUAAGAAUGUGGAUAGGUGUAACAGGUGAUCAUUGUCUUGGCUUUUCCAGAAGUACUUUUGUCUUAGAGCUUUGCAAGUUAUUUGAAGGAAUCAACAGAUUCACAGGAAAGACUGAGAAAGUUUUUUAAGAAGUUCUGUAACCAAAGACUGUUAACAAAAUGAAGUGUAGAGUCACUUAAAAUUCUUUGUGGAUUAGUAAAGUGUUAGAAGAUAAGGAACAGUAUAGUGACUAAUGAGCAGUUUUCACACUGCCACCUCACAAAGGUUUGUACUGGCAGUUUUUCUGGUCCACCUGUUCCUAAACAGUCUGAAAAAGUGAUAUAGAUUGCAGGUGAUAAAAGGAAAAUAUUCACAGUUGGAGUGAGACCUAUUGUUGACCCUGAAGAGCUGCAGAAGGAUCUCACAGCAGGACCUGUGGUGAUCCAGGAGCCUUGGCUGUCAGAGUGGCCAGAUAUUGCUGACCCCACUGUUCAGUCAUAUCUAUCAUCAGAGAGAGGCAGUGGCUGUUGGAUUACAGCAGCCAUCACACCGUAAACUGUGAGCUCAGCAGGCUGUGACCAGUUCUGCCACUCAGGAAGGCAGGGACUUGUAGCUGCUCUUUCUAACAGCAGGAGCUGCAAAUUGAAGAGAAGAUUCUUUCUCUCUGUUUCUUAGGGUUUCACAGCCUCAAUGAGGCUAAAGUACAGGUUUUGAACCUGGAGUCCUGCCUGCCACGGUGUUGGAAUAUCACUCUUGCUGAUCGGCAGUAUCUUGCUGCCGUGAGAUGCCAGGGCUCUCAAACCACCUUAAUGGGGUUUGCAUUUUAGCAGCUCCAGAUAAUUUUCUAAAAUCAUUCUGUAUAAAAUUGAUGCUAGCAAAAAGUGACAAAAUAGUAUUUGAAACAGAGGUUUCAAAUGACGUGCUGGUCAGGUUUGAGCACUGAUGAGAACUGUAUAUGAUACAGAAAAGAAUGACUAAGAGGUAUGGAAUAACUCUGCUGCAGGGACAAUAAAUGGAUCAGGAUUCCUCAGUUUGGAAGAAUGUUGACUGAGGAGUAGGUAAUGUGAAAAAGGUCUCUAAAACCAUGAAUAUAUGGAAGGGGGACUAUAAAUCUCUUUUUAACAGGGAACUGUAACUCCUAGUUUCUCAUAAGAGAAAAACAAAAGGCCUUUGGUGACUGUGUUGUUUCAUUUAGGUGGUCUUUAAGAUGACAAAAGGCUGCAUAAGAGUUUUAUCUGCCAUAGUUUUGUGGAUACAUGUUUUCAAGUGCACAAAACCCAGCAGUUUCCUGGUCUUGAAAGCUCCACUUGUCGCGAACCAGUUGUGGUAAAAAUCUAACCUGUGCAGAAUUAUAGCUUAUCUCUAAAUAAGUAAAUCUCUAAAUAAGUCUCAUUAUCUUAAAUCCAUAGAUGUUUUUUAUUGUCUGUCUGUUCCUUUAUCUGGCAGUAGCAAUAUUACAGAUGGGCAGAUCAGUUUUACUUCUUUUUACAAACCUAUGGGCAAUGGAAAAUACCAGUUUGCUGCUACUUCACAAAUUAAAAGCAGUAGCAGGCCCUAAAAUUAGUCCCGUGGGAAAUCAGAUAAAGAAGCAGAAGUGUUUCAAGCAGCAAGCAGAAGGUCCAGAGGGAUGGAGUAGAAGACAUCAUUGUACCUUUGGAACAGCUGGAAUGGUUUCCAAGCUGUUGUCUGCAAACCCCUCCUAGACUCCAAGUUUGUGGUGAGUUGAACACCUGUUUGGAUAACCCAUAGUUAACAGUGCUUUAAAUAGGGUUUCCAAUUAAAAGUUUGAUGAGGUGGGUGUGUGGUAGUUUUUGAAAAAUGCUAAGGACUGAUAACGAUCUGUUGUUCCAAAGAAGGUGGGAACUGCUGUACUGGGGUGUAUGAAAAAUUAGAGAGCAUGCCCUGCUUUCUCAGCUUUAGACUGGUUGCAUGCCUCUCCACCAGAAACAACAGCAAGAGGUUCCCAGAAAGGAGCCAAGAAGAGCAGUCUGGUAGCAUUAAUCCUUCUGGCCCCAUCACACAUUCCCUAGUAACAGAACUGUGGAGUUCUUAAUCUUUGUGUUGUUCCUGAGUAUCCCUUAAAAUUCUUCACUAGCCUGACGUUUCCUGUCUACUACUGACUAGUAGAUUUAGUUUCCUGAGAAGUGAGUAUAAUUUUGCAAGUCUUGGAUCCUCAUCAGACAAAGAUUAAACUUGUCCACUCCACUAGAUUAGAAUAUAGCUUCAUCUUUGGAUUAAUAUUUGGUUUCUCAAUGCAGAAAAACAGAUUUUAAAAUUUUCUAUUCUGUCAUUAUUAACAGACAUAAACUUUCCGUAUGAGUAUUAGCAUGUCUUGUAUUUGACCAACUUCUUCUAAUUACCCUGAAUGGUAAUCUUACAUUGUAAAAAGCUUUUUGUCUUCGUAUCAUGUCUCUUACUACUUUUUUUCUGCUAUUGAAAAUUUUCCAGCGUCAUAAAAUAUUUGUAUUUAAUUGCCCUUGACAUACCUUACUUCCUAUUGUCCUGAGCGUCAUACAAGCACAUCCAUAAGUAAUUUGUAGAGAUGUUAACUUUUCCAACAUACUGUGCAUAUUUAUGUUAGGAAUUAUGGUAGUGUCAAAUUUUAGACACACCAAAUUAUAAGCUGUAUUCAAAUGGUAUAAAUAUGUUUAUCUUGAAGAAAUAAUUUGUUUUAUCUAAAAUUAUUAUAGUGUGUUUCUUACUCAUGUAUUGAUACAUAUAUGGAAAAUGAGGGGAUUUGUGCAUGUUUUGUAUUAUCUUGCUAAAUAACUGUUGCUAACUUACAUGAUUCUGAAGUUGUUUUUGCUCAGGCUUGAGCUACUAGGAGAGGGGAAUUUUUGUCUUGUACCAGAAAGGAACACGUAAGGGAGGAGAGAGUGACUUCUGUUAUAGUGUAGAAAAUAGUGGUUUCCUGCUGUCAUCUGUGAGUGACAAGAGAGAGGGAUUCAUGAGACUAGACAAGGCGUAUGGGUACAGAAGCAGUGAUGGGGUACAUAGGUAGGUCUGGGGAUGAGUGUAUGUGAAUGAAGAAUUUGGAAUAGGUAUCAGAAAAGGCAUUUUUCCAAGAGGUGGAAGGAUCACAGUUGGAUAAAUAUACUGGGAUCAGUUGGAAGUCACUUUACUACUAAACGUGGCUACAGCUCUCUAACUGACUCUUGCUCAUUCCACACCUGCCCUAGCUACACCCUUCCCCAUGUCUUCUGGAACUUCACUUUCUUUUCCAGUUCCUGCACAUGACCCUUUUGAAUGGAAAACCUACUUUUCUGCUUGCUCCAGGAACAUUACACGCAAAGGUACAAAUGGUCCUAUGAAUCUCUCUUAUCUAAAGCUUCUCUUCUGUCCUGCUAUACUUCUGCCUCCUGUGUAUGGGGUUCCACACUGCAGAUGCAAACAGACAGACGAAUCUUAGAACAGAAUCAUAGAAUCGUUUAGGUUGGAAAAGGCCCUUUAGAUCAUCAAGUUAACUAUAAACCUAACAGCACAAAGUCUACCACUAAACCAUCUCUCUAAGAGCCAUGUCUACACAUCUUUUAAAUUCCCCAGGCAGCCUGUUCUAGUGCUGGACAACUCUUUCAGUAAGGAAAUUUUUCCUAAUAUCAAAUCUAAACCUCCCCUAGCACAACUUGAGGCAAUUUCCUCUCAUCCUGUUGCUUGUCACCUGGGAGAAGAGACACCUGGCUACAACCUCCUUUCAGGUAGUUGUAGAGAGUGAUAAGGGCUCCCCUGAGCCUCCUCCAGGCUAAACAAUCCCAAUUUCCUCAGCCACUCCUCAUCAGAUUUGUGCUUCAGACCCUUCACCAGCUUCAUUGCCCUUCUCUAGAGCUCCAACACCUCAAUGUUUGUCUUGUAGCAAGGAGCCUCAAACACAAUAUUAGUGGUGUGGCCUCACCAGUGAAUACAAAGGGAUCCAAGUGAGAUGCUGUGGAAGUGCUGGGUACAAAAAUAAUAAUGCUUCUACUUUCCAACAUACAGUUUGCACCUUCUUCAACUGGGACGUGUCCCAUCAUUUGAAAUCUGCUGAUCAUACAUUAAUUAAUUUGUUCCUUUUGUCUGCUUCAUGUAACACUCAUAAGAAUGUGAUGGGGGUUUUUUCCACAUGGUGAGUUAUGACUUUUAGAUGUUUGUUUUACUAGACAGCAGAAAAAAAAUCUCAGGUUUCUAAACCCUGGUCCAUUUGAUUUACAUUUUUCAGUGAUCUAUGACCUUCCUGAAAAUAAAUAACUAAUUUCAAUGGAUUAUUGCACUUACUGGAGAUAGGUUGAAGCUUACAAACAGUAUGGUUACUUUUCUUAAUUAUUACUUUGCUGAUUCCUAGAAAGUUGUUCGUGAAGACUAAAGAGUCAGCAAAAAUAUUGAAAGCAAUGUCCUAGAGCAUUCCCUUAAAUGCAAGGCUUUUUUUUAAAUGCAGUAGGGUUUUUUGGUCACAGAUAUUUUAGUCAGUUUUAAGCUUUUAUUUAACAGUUUUGCUUUUAAUAUUGAUUAUGAUUGCAUAUUUAUGUCUAUGACUAAACUUAGCUAAUAAGAUGCAUGAUUUCUGCUCAAGUUUCAAAUUCAGAAAUUAAUUGUCCUUUCAGCAUGUGACCAAACGAAUAGAUUAUGUACCAAGAUGACCGUAACAAUAGUAAAAUAAAGCAUACUUUUUUUUCUUUUUGUUAGAGGGUACAUUAUUUUAAUAGAAGACUAUUCCGGUGUUUCUUUCUUGGGCAGAUUUCUAUAUGCAUAUAGAGAUCAUUCUUUUAGUUAGUCAGUGUUGGUCCCAAAAAAUUGGCAUUACUCUCGUUGCUUGUCAUGUGUCAUUUUAUCUUUAAAGACUGCAGGAGUUCAUGAUUCCUGAGAGGUAACACCUUGAAGUUCUGGCACUAUCUUCUACAAAGUAGCUUACACUGAGCUGACUUCCUGUUACCAUGUCAGUGAAACAUCAAAUGUUGAUACUAUCUGCGAAACAGCAUUUGAUAUUAUGGCUUUUAAGCAACUUGAAAAAAUAUUCUAACGAUGGAUUUUGUGUUUAGAGGAACUGAGAUCUAAAAAUAUAUGUAGUGGAUGCAGGUAAUAAAUGUUGUUUAGGAAUUGUUACAGGAGAGAAAAUAUUUACAUUUGUGUACAAUAUGCUAGUCUUAACACUAGCUAUUUUUAUCUCCUUUUAAAUAUAAUAGGGUGGUUAUAAAGUGUUUAAAGGCAUAAAUAAUUUCAUUCAUUGAAACAUGCAGUGCAUCAUUUAGAAUGGCUACUAAAGGAGAGAAGUGGACGUGCACUUUUCUUAACAACCAAGCAUAAAAAUAAGGUAUCAGAGAUAAUGAUAUAGUUCAAAUCAAUAAAGAUCAUCAUUAUGUUUUGCUGUAUGAGCAGAGCUCUUCACAGAAUGAUGAUUUCAUUCUACAACUACAGUUAUCUAAAUAGAUUUUCAUUGCUAAACUUUAUUCUGAUGAUUUUAUGUAUUUGUUGGAAAUGAGAGAACACAAACACUCAAAAUUUAAGCCACUGAUCUUCAGCCAUGCUAAAACCUUUCAGAACUUGGUAUUUCACCCCAGGAUUGGAUUCAUAGCCAUUUUAAAAUUUGAAAUUUCAGAAAUUGUGCAGGUGAGCAGGAAAAAGCAAAGGAAGAAACUGAAAUGGAGAGGGGGAAAUUAUUUUCCCUUACAGAAGGAAAGAUUAGAAAAACUUAAUGAGCAUAGUAGAAAUAAUAGGGUAAAAGGGAGGAGUCAGGUAAGUGUUUGCACUAAUAUUUUGUAUUUAGUGCUCAGAUAUGUUAUGCUUUGUGCUUGCAUGGAAAAACCAGAGUAAGACUUCAGUGUUCUGACUAACUGCUGUGCUGAGUUGUACUUCUAGUCACUGUGCAUUUUUAUUUUAACAUGGUCUCUUCUAAGAAAGGUUUUAAAUUGACUUUCAGGGCCAACCAGAAUCACAAAAUGCAUUAUUCUACUGAAAAAUGAUGACUGCUUCAAUGUUCUAUGUUCCCAGGUUAGCUCUUAAAAACGCCAUUAUUAGACAUGACAAAAUCAAAGCCAUUUUUUAGUAUGUAUUUCAGUUAAUUCUAUUCUAGCAUUUGGGAAAGAGUGCAGGCAGACAGGCAAUAACAGUUAGGAAUGGCAAAAUUUGUAUGUAAAACCUAAUUGUAAUAAUGCUGAAACUGAAAAUAGAAAGUGCUAAUUAAUCAUUGUUCAGCAGAACUAGGCAAAGUUAAUCCAUUCAUAAUCAAAUGAAGUUGUAGAACAAUGGAUUACUUACAUUGGCAUUUGUUACAGGUUAGACAUCAGUAUGUGGAUUUCAUCCAUAAGCUGUAAUAAAAUAAAAUAAAUUAGGAAAUUACCAAAAAAGGUUUAAUUCUGUAAUUUGUUCAUUUAUGUGGUUAGUUACUGCAUUAUUCCUCUGAGUAUAUAUGGUAUUAUAGUAGAAUAAAUGUUUGGGGAAAUGUUGUAUUUUUAACUGAGCAAUUAACUAUUAUUCACACAGUGACUAUAACUGGUCUUCAUGAUUUACCAUGCAAAAACCUGUUUAUUUUUUAACUACAAAGAUAAGAACCUCCCAUUUUCUUACAUUCACUCAGGGUUAUGCAUAAAAUACCUUAACUGUCCACCUGAACAACACUUUAGUGUAACUGAGGUCUGAGCAGAUGUACAGCAGUAAAUGUACAUCCCCUCUAAAACUGCCCCAUUGCUGACUGGAGUCAGAGAGUGGAAAAUGGGUGGAGCAAGGAGAGGCCUUAUGGUGCCAGCUCACAAUUAAUUUUUGAAUGGUAACAUCUACUUUUUGGAAUGUAGUAUAUUAAUUUCUGCUGAUAGAGAUAGGUCUACAUAAGAACUGUUCUAUGAAUUGCUGUGCAAUAGGUUUCCUGUUCCUGUGCCACGUCUGUGUCACUGGGAAGCAGUUUUUAAGGGCACCCAGUGAAGAUCUGAAUACUGAAAAACUGACAUAACUGUACUAUUCAUGUUCAUUCAUAAAACUUCUAGAAGUUCUAAAUAAGAGAAUUCAUGCUGUAUUUUAUACUCAACCCUUACUGCUAUGUUGUGAAUGUUGUCCUGCAAAUAUAGAAUCCCAGUGAUAUCAAGCUUUAAUUUUUAUUUGCAGUGGAUAAACAUAAAGCCCAAGAAGUACUUAAUUAGUUCUAACAGAAAAACAAACUUCCUUUAUUUUGUUAGGGUCAGUCUUCAUUUUUAUGCACAGUGUAAUGCACACAAGUAGUGUUCAGUAGCAAAAUAUUAUGCAGCACAAACCUAUUACAUGGUCUGUGUGGAUGAAAGUCACUUGUAAAUUUUCCUUGUUCAGGAUUAAAGGAAGUUGAAAAUGUGCUGUAUCUCAUUUUGAUCCAGAUGCUGUUGCCGUAAGUAUUCAGCUUGAAGAUAUGUUGCUAGGUUUGUAAAUACCUAGUGAACUUCACAAAAUUAAUUACAUUUCAACUAUGUGAUUCAGGGUCCAAUAUUCAGACCUUAGGAUGGGAUGAAUCGCCCUCUGGAGGUGCCCAUUUCAGUCUACUGACUUCCCAGGAAUCCUGCUCUGAACUGACUAGCUCAAACUAAAGUUAAGUGAGUGGGCAGUCACCUUAAUUGAGGAAUAACUGAGCAUUUCAUACUGUACUAGGUCUUUUCUCUGGAUCUCUUUAAGACUGGCUGCCUUAUUCCUCAUCUUUUCUGUCGGUGUUCUUGUGCUGUUUCUAAUAUGAAUAAACACAAUUGUUACGGUUGCCAUUUUCUGUGUAUUUUGUUUUUCCUGUCCUUUUUGAUCUUAUUAUCUUAUCUUUCCCUGUUUUUUUUUUCUUUUCCUGACUCCUUUUAGCUACCAUGCCUUCUGAAGCUUUUCACUUGCUACCUCUCUGACAAUCCAUGUUGAAAGUAUUGUCCUAACUUCUGACGUGAAAGAUUGCUGGCCCUUCCUUUGAUGCUGAUACCAGUAUUUUCUGGGACUGAUAGUACUGUAGUGAAGACAUAGAAAAAGAAGAAUAUGGCACUCAUUAAUUUUUAAUGGUUUUGAAGAGUCAAAAAAUAUUGUUCUUCUGCCAUCAUAUAAAAUGUGCUGGUUUCCUAAUGUAAUUGUGAUUUAAAGAUGUUUGUAGAAAUGUAAAAUCAAUGUGAAGAGUAUAAAAUCCAUAUUAAAGACAUAUAGAUUUAAUAAAAUACAGCAUUAGUCUUUAUUUUAACAAUUGAUUCCUACAUGUCUCACUUGCAGAAAGUGGGGGAGUUUUACAAAGUUGGGUACUGGUAAAGUGUGCCUUUGUAAAAGAUGAAAUUAUUUUCUUUCUCCCUAUGGUGAUAUUUUCUUGAUUUAUAUCCUUCUCUUGAGUUCUCUGUCUUCUCCCCUUCUCUUUUGUUUUGGUUCCUUCUCUUAAACUAAGUUUCUGAUUCCUUUCUACACUGGACUCUCCUAACUCUUUUGGUUCAAUACUGGUACCUUUGUUCUUGAGUAUGUUUACAUUCAUUUGCCUAAAAUAUUGCCUUGAGCAUGAUCCCAUAUACUCAAGAAUAUAUAUACUUCUAAACACUGGAUGGAUCUGCUAUUUUAGGACUUCCAGUAAGGAAAAGAAGAAACUUUACAAUUCAGAGACAGCAUUUAAAGUUCUUUAUGGUAAAUGUGCCUUCAGAAGAUCAAAGUACCAUGCUUCUUACAUCCAUGGAAUAAUAGUUAUGAAUAGAGAUAAACAUUCCUGUAAAAAUAAAGACUUAUGGUACUUGUUCAAUAUAGGAAUGCUAACUUAAAAAGAGCAUCUGAAUAAAAGCAAAC